AGAUUGUGCCAGCGUUUUGAGUCACUUCCAAGGAGCAAGAAAGACGACAGGGUCUGUCUGGAAACUAUCAACUCUGAGCUUUGUCAGAGUGGGAGUGGGACCAAAUAGAACUGGCCAAGCUGGAUUAUGGGAAACAUACCUUAAGAUACAGAGAAGUUCCUCCCUAUUUCGUGACGAGAUCAGGGCAAGAGUUUCUGAAA